rnacentral:rRNA from 1 species
GGGGAUCUGAGAGGAUGACCCCCCACACUGGUACUGAGACACGGACCAGACUCCUACGGGAGGCAGCAGUAAGGAAUAUUGGUCAAUGGAGGCAACUCUGAACCAGCCAUGCCGCGUGCAGGAAGACAGCCCUCUGGGUCGUAAACUGCUUUUAUCUGGGAAUAAACCUUUGCUCGUGAGCAGAGCUGAAUGUACCAGAGGAAUAAGGAUCGGCUAACUCCGUGCCAGCAGCCGCGGUAAUACGGAGGAUCCAAGCGUUAUCCGGAUUUAUUGGGUUUAAAGGGUGCGUAGGCGGCCUGUUAAGUCAGGGGUGAAAGACGGUAGCUCAACUAUCGCAGUGCCCUUGAUACUGACGGGCUUGAAUGAACUAGAGGUAGGCGGAAUGUGACAAGUAGCGGUGAAAUGCAUAGAUAUGCCACAGAACACCGAUUGCGAAGGCAGCUUACUAUGGUUUUAUUGACGCUGAGGCACGAAAGCGUGGGGAUCAAACAGGAUUAGAUACCCUGGUAGUCCACGCCCUAAACGAUGAAUACUCGCUGUUAGCGAUAUACAGUUAGCGGCUAAGCGAAAGCGUUAAGUAUUCCACCUGGGGAGUACGCCCGCAAGGGUGAAACUCAAAGGAAUUGACGGGGGCCCGCACAAGCGGAGGAGCAUGUGGUUUAAUUCGAUGAUACGCGAGGAACCUUACCCGGGCUUGAAAGUUAGUGAAGUAUCCAGAGAUGGGUACGUCCGCAAGGACACGAAACUAGGUGCUGCAUGGCUGUCGUCAGCUCGUGCCGUGAGGUGUUGGGUUAAGUCCCGCAACGAGCGCAACCCCUAUGUUUAGUUGCCAGCACGUAAUGGUGGGGACUCUAAACAGACUGCCUGUGCAAACAGAGAGGAAGGAGGGGACGACGUCAAGUCAUCAUGGCCCUUACGUCCGGGGCUACACACGUGCUACAAUGGACGGUACAGAGGGCAGCUAGCCAGCAAUGGUAUGCCAAUCUCAAAAAGCCGUUCACAGUUCGGAUAGAGGUCUGCAACUCGACCUCUUGAAGUUGGAUUCGCUAGUAAUCGCAGAUCAGCAAUGCUGCGGUGAAUACGUUCCCGGGCCUUGUACACACCGCCCGUCAAGCCAUGGAAGUUGGGGGUACCUAAAGUACGUAACCGCAAGGAGCGUCCUAGGGUAAAACCGAUAACUGGGGCUAAGUCGUAACAAGGUA